CAGUCCUCUCCUUCCUGCACCUGGGAUGUAUUUCCUGGCACUGUCCUGCACCUCUGUGUGCAGCUUCUCCUGGUUGGGCUGCAGAGAGCUCUUGCCCUGCAGGUACAGGGCCCUGAAGUGCCUUCAUGAAGUCAAUGCAUGUGGCCACAGCAGUGUUCAUACUGAUAUAAUUGCAACAUAAACGGAAUUUGGUUCAUCUAAUUAGGGUCUGGUGGCUAUCCAGCUGAAACGUACUUCCUUGGAGCUGCACAACUCCAGCUCCAGCAGGCCUCUGUCCCCUGCUGCUGUGCUCUGGUCCCAGCUCUCAGGUGGGUCUGGGUCCUGCAGGGCUCACCCACGUCGGCUGUGCAGGGCUCUGCUCCCCUGGCUCGGCCACAAGUACCGAGAUGUUGUCUGCUGGGUGCCUUUCUCCAGGGCAGCCCCGCCAGGAGCGGUCUUCCGGGGUGACGCUGUGAGCUUCCCUGUGCUUGGUGAGGUUUUCUCUUUGUCCUCCCCAGGUUUCUGAAGGGCUUCAGCGCCUGGGAGCCGCCAGGCUGCUUGUGCACCACCGGCACCAAACCCUGCUUGGAGGCUGUGCCUGUGCCACCGCAGCACCCACGGCACUCGGGGGUGCAGAGCGGUGACAAAAUGCACCGAGACAGCCGUGGGGCCUGGCCACCGGAGUGAGCGCAGAGGGCAGGACCGGGACCCUCCUUCCCCAUCAAACCGCAGCAGCUUCCCAGUUCUGCUCUUCAUGGAAAAUAUUUGCACUCAAAACGUGGCCCCUCACACAAACAGCGGGGAGGAGCCGGCCCAGGAGUGCCAGCAGAGGCGCAGACACGCAGCAGAGGUGCGGUGCUGGCACUGCGUGGUCCCACCUCGGACCAGGACAGACACGAGACACCCCCGGCACCUGUAGGAGCUCCCCUGCAGUGCAAGGCCUCCACAGGCAGAGGUCACGGGGCGAAGGGCUGUCAGCGGGUGGAACGCGACCCUGCGCCCAGCGGGGCCCGCGGACGUGCCAUCCACCAGGCUUCGCAACCCCCGGUGACGAUGAUCUGCUGUGGAAAGGAAAGUUGUGUGAGCCCCAGAAAAAAUGUCUUUAGCCUUAUAAACUGACACAGUUGUUUAUAAUAUUCCUAAGUGCCAUUGCGUGAUGAUAGCAAUUCUCCGACAGGGAAAAUUUACUUUUUUCCUUCUUUUUUUAAAUAAAGUUAGAAAGCUGUAAGUCCCA
rnacentral:lncRNA from 1 species